AUCAGAAGCUAGCAAGUCAAGUGCAUGAAUUGGUUGCACGCGUAAAUGGUCGAUUCGGAACACUGAAAGCAACUCCUAUUCUACAUUUGGUGAAGUACAAAGCCAAGUGUGAAUCUAUGAAGUGUAUCAACAAAGAGUAGUAUAUGUAUUGUAAUAGUAGGCAGUAGUAGGUAUAUCUGGGUUGUGGUGUACUGUAAAGAUUGUAAUAGACAAAUUUAAUGUUGGUUUGGAUGAAUUUCAUUUGCUCCCCAUCUUGUUUGAAA